AUGGAACCAGAGAGGUACAGUCCGCGGUGGCAGGAAGGAGAAGCUAGUGCAGAUUUGGAGGAGUACGGUGCUUCCUCUGAUAUGAGCUACAUCAUGGACCCAUCGUCCAGAGACUGGAGCGAAGGCUCAUUGAGGGGUAGCGGUGCUCCCUUCUCCCCAGACACAGAUGGGGACGUUGAUGGAGAUCCUGUGCAGCCCAGUGUGGACCUGGAACUCGCUCGUAAGAAGAAGGAGCUGGCGGUCAUAGAGGAGAAGAUAGCGCGCAAGAAAGCUGUUCUUGCUACACGACAGCUUAAACUCGGAGUUAAGGACAUGCCUAAAAAACAGACUGCAUCCACAACAGUGAAGGGCAUGUCUAAACAGACCAAGAUGAACAAUACAAUAUUCAAAACAUACAACAAUGUCGCCGACAGGUUGUCGCGCGUAUGCCUACCUCUUAAACGGAGGGUGCUGGACAUUCUGAGUAAGGAUACCCCUGCCAAGCUGAAGAAACAAAACAAGAUGCGAGCGUUGGAGCUGAUGAUUAGUGCUCCCCUAGAAAAUGAAGAGGCCCGUCCUCUGAGAGUGAAGGCUUUAAUGAACCAGCGACGCUAUCCCGACAAUGAGGAGGUAUGUAGCCAUAACAAAACAUAGAGGUCUGCAAAAGUAUCAUAAGAAGGAAGUCAAGAAAACCAUGGCCCCCAAUUUAUACAAUUGAUUUCUGCGAUUGACACCCAUCCCAAAUAGGCAGGAUAUGAAGUGCCUACUUAAUUGUACGCUUCAUAAUAUUUUUUGUGUUCUUAUAGGCCUAUAGUUUUUUUCUAAAAUGUCACCGCUAUAUUAGUGUUAUCCUUGUCAACCACCUGAUGCAUUAAUUGCUACCUAGCAUGCGAACAGUCAUUGAGAACUUGUAGCAUAACUAGCCAGCUAAAAGCCAAUCAUUGCCGAAUGAGUCAAUAUGAGUAAAAUGCAACCAAAUGCAUUCAUUGUGACAUUCAGAUAAACACAUAAGUGAUACGUAAAUGAAGGAUACGUUUGAUGGGCGGUGUUGAUGAUGCAAGCAGAUCAUACACAUUUUGUUUGUUUUAGUGCUGAGCGAUUAGUGCUUUUUCGGUUUCGAUUAUUAUUAUUUUUGAACAUUAAAUGCAUUGUGGAUUAUGUGGGUUGGAUGUUCUAACAGAGUAAAACAUUUAAU
rnacentral:lncRNA from 8 species